GAUGAACGCUGGCGGCGCGCCUAACACAUGCAAGUCGAACGGUUAAGGCCCCCUUUAGGGGGCGCAUAGAGUGGCGAACGGGUGAGUAACACGUGACCAACCCGCCCCCCCCACCGGGACAACCUCGGGAAACCGAGGCUAAUACCGGAUACGCCGGGGCCCCCGCAUGGGGGCUCCGGGAAAGCCUUGGCGGGAGGGGACGGGGUCGCGGCCCAUCAGGUAGACGGCGGGGCGAAGGCCCGCCGUGCCGACGACGGGUAGCCGGGCUGAGAGGCCGAUCGGCCACAUUGGGACUGAGACACGGCCCAGACUCCUACGGGAGGCAGCAGUGGGGAAUAUUGCGCAAUGGGCGAAAGCCUGACGCAGCGACGCCGCGUGCGGGAAGGAGGCCUUCGGGUCGUAAACCGCUUUCAGCAGGGAAGAAGCCUGACGGUACCUGCAGAAGAAGCCCCGGCUAACUACGUGCCAGCAGCCGCGGUAAUACGUAGGGGGCGAGCGUUAUCCGGAUUCAUUGGGCGUAAAGCGCGCGCAGGCGGCCCGCCAAGCGGCCUCGUCGAAGCCGGGGGCUCAACCCCCGGAAGCGACCCGAACUGGCGGGCUCGAGUGGGGCAGGGGAGGAUGGAAUUCCCGGUGUAGCGGUGAAAUGCGCAGAUAUCGGGAGGAACACCGACGGCGAAGGCAGCCCUCUGGGCCUUCACUGACGCUGAGGCGCGAAAGCUGGGGGAGCGAACAGGAUUAGAUACCCUGGUAGUCCAAGGGCAAUUCCACAGUGGAUAUCAAGCUUAUCGAUACCGUCGACCUCGAGGGGGGGCCCGGUACCCAGCUUUUGUUCUCUUUAGUGAGGAAUUA
rnacentral:rRNA from 1 species